UGUAUAUAUCUUAGUAUUCGAACCCUACAUGUUAAAUCUGACGAGCAACACACUGUGGGUGAUGCGCAUUGCUACGCGCUGUAAUAUUCAUAUUCGGCUCAUCGAGAUGUCUGCCAAAAUGAGAAACAUUUUUCUCUUUGUGUCAAUGUUAUUUAUCAAGUAAGCUUUUAAAAUAGUUAAUUAAUGGCUUUUGUGCAUCCUGUUUGAUUGUUCAAGGUCAUGUACAAAUACAUUAACAGGAGUUGAGGUUUUGCAUUAUCAGGUUUACCAUCUAGUAUUUAAACAGCACAAUGUGUUAUUUUGGAUUGAUCGAAAGUGUUGCAGAGACACGAUUAUUGCGAGAAUGAUUCGGAUGAUUGUUGUGGCAACUUUGCUGUUGCUGCUUGUAACACCUGCGCUCCAGGGUGCGUCUGUACAACAGAAUACGACCCAGUGUGUGGGGUGAAUGGCAGAACCUAUUCGAACCCGUGCAAUCUAAGAUGCGCACGUGUAAGGCUGAGUUACAGAGGGAGAUGUAGGCACUGAAGAAGAACAGAAAAC